rnacentral:rRNA from 1 species
UACGUAGGGUGCGAGCGUUGUCCGGAAUUAUUGGGCGUAAAGAGCUUGUAGGCGGUCUGUCGCGUCUGCUGUGAAAAUCCGGGGCUCAACCCCGGACUUGCAGUGGGUACGGGCAGACUAGAGUGUGGUAGGGGAGACUGGAAUUCCUGGUGUAGCGGUGAAAUGCGCAGAUAUCAGGAGGAACACCGAUGGCGAAGGCAGGUCUCUGGGCCACUACUGACGCUGAGAAGCGAAAGCGUGGGGAGCGAUCCGG